CGGGUGAGUAACACGUAUGCAAUCCACCUGUAACAGGGGGAUAACCCGGAGAAAUCCGGACUAAUACCCCAUAAUAUGGGCGCUCCGCAUGGAGAGCCCAUUAAAGAGAGCAAUCUUGGUUACAGACGAGCAUGCGCUCCAUUAGCCAGUUGGCGGGGUAACGGCCCACCAAGGCGACGAUGGAUAGGGGUUCUGAGAGGAAGGUCCCCCACACUGGAACUGAGACACGGUCCAG
rnacentral:rRNA from 1 species